rnacentral:rRNA from 1 species
UGCAUGUACUUUAUGAAAAAGGAGCGGCUAACUCCGUGCCAGCAGCCGCGGUAAUACGGAGGAUCCGAGCGUUAUCCGGAUUUAUUGGGUUUAAAGGGAGCGUAGAUGGAUGUUUAAGUCAGUUGUGAAAGUUUGCGGCUCAACCGUAAAAUUGCAGUUGAUACUGGAUAUCUUGAGUGCAGUUGAGGCAGGCGGAAUUCGUGGUGUAGCGGUGAAAUGCUUAGAUAUCACGAAGAACUCCGAUUGCGAAGGCAGCCUGCUAAGCUGCAACUGACAUUGAGGCUCGAAAGUGUGGGUAUCAAACAGGAUUAGAUACCCUGGUAGUCCACACGGUAAACGAUGAAUACUCGCUGUUUGCGAUAUACUGCAAGCGGCCAAGCGAAAGCGUUAAGUAUUCCACCUGGGGAGUACGCCGGCAACGGUGAAACUCAAAGGAAUUGACGGGGGCCCGCACAAGCGGAGGAACAUGUGGUUUAAUUCGAUGAUACGCGAGGAACCUUACCCGGGCUUAAAUUGCAGAUGAAUUACGGUGAAAGCCGUAAGCCGCAAGGCAUCUGUGAAGGUGCUGCAUGGUUGUCGUCAGCUCGUGCCGUGAGGUGUCGGCUUAAGUGCCAUAACGAGCGCAACCCUUGUUGUCAGUUACUAACAGGUUUUGCUGAGGACUCUGACAAGACUGCCAUCGUAAGAUGUGAGGAAGGUGGGGAUGACGUCAAAUCAGCACGGCCCUUACGUCCGGGGCUACACACGUGUUACAAUGGGGGGUACAGAGGGCCGCUACCACGCGAGUGGAUGCCAAUCCCCAAAACCUCUCUCAGUUCGGACUGGAGUCUGCAACCCGACUCCACGAAGCUGGAUUCGCUAGUAAUCGCGCAUCAGCCACGGCGCGGUGAAUACGUUCCCGGGCCUUGUACACACCGCCCGUCAAGCCAUGGGAGCCGGGGGUACCUGAAGUGCGUAACCGCGAGGAGCGCCCUAGGGUAAAACUGGUGACUGGGGCUAAGUCGU